AGUGAACGCUGGCGGUAGGCCUAACACAUGCAAGUCGAACGGCAGCACAGUAAGAGCUUGCUCUUACGGGUGGCGAGUGGCGGACGGGUGAGGAAUACAUCGGAAUCUACUUUUUCGUGGGGGAUAACGUAGGGAAACUUACGCUAAUACCGCAUACGACCUACGGGUGAAAGCAGGGGAUCUUCGGACCUUGCGCGAUUGAAUGAGCCGAUGUCGGAUUAGCUAGUUGGCGGGGUAAAGGCCCACCAAGGCGACGAUCCGUAGCUGGUCUGAGAGGAUGAUCAGCCACACUGGAACUGAGACACGGUCCAGACUCCUACGGGAGGCAGCAGUGGGGAAUAUUGAACAAUGGGCGCAAGCCUGAUCCAGCCAUACCGCGUGGGUGAAGAAGGCCUUCGGGUUGUAAAGCCCUUUUGUUGGGAAAGAAAAGCAGCAGGUUAAUACCCCGCUGUUCUGACGGUACCGAAAGAAUAAGCACCGGCUAACUUCGU
rnacentral:rRNA from 1 species